AUCCGUCAAAAACUGAUCGUAGUCGAGUGACAACACCAUUUCCGGAAAAACACUGUACGACAAAAUGGCGGACGAAACCAAACAAGUGACAAGGUUCGUGAGUGGUUCCAGGCGUGUGAUGACCCAGGGAUAUCAGCUAUUGACAGAUGCAGGAUGAUACAGAUGGGUAUAUAGGUUCAAGAAAUUCCUUCUGUCACUGGCUGAAAUGUCAACCUUCCCUCCAGUGGGUUUACAUGUCAACACGUCCAAGAUCUGUGGGGAGAGCAUUGUAAGACAAGAUCCAACCAGGACGACUUGUUUGAUGCCCCCAGUAGGCUACAUUGUGUGAGGAAACCCUAGCAGGGUAUGUCAAGUCUGCAUGAACCUGGUCUUGGAGCUACCCACAAAGUCAAGGAAAGCAAUAUGUAGCG